AGGGAAUCUUCCACAAUGGACGGAAGUCUGAUGGAGCAACGCCGCGUGAGUGAUGAAGGUUUUCGGAUCGUAAAACUCUGUUGUAAGGGAAGAACCAGUACGUCAGGCAAUGGACGUACCUUGACGGUACCUUAUUAGAAAGCCACGGCUAACUACGUGCCAGCAGCCGCGGUAAUACGUAGGUGGCAAGCGUUAUCCGGAUUUACUGGGUGUAAAGGGCGAGUAGGCGGGAUCAUAAGUCAGAUGUGAAAUCUGGGGGCUCAACCCCCAAACUGCAUUUGAAACUAUGAUUCUUGAGUGAUGGAGAGGCAGGCGGAAUUCCCGGUGUAGCGGUGGAAUGCGUAGAGAUCGGGAGGAACACCAGUGGCGAAGGCGGCCUGCUGGACAUUAACUGACGCUGAGGAGCGAAAGCGUGGGGAGCAAACA
rnacentral:rRNA from 1 species